GACGAACGCUGGCGGCGUGCCUAAUACAUGCAAGUAGAACGCUGAAGGAGGAGCUUGCUUCUCUGGAUGAGUUGCGAACGGGUGAGUAACGCGUAGGUAACCUGCCUGGUAGCGGGGGAUAACUAUUGGAAACGAUAGCUAAUACCGCAUAAGAGUAGAUGUUGCAUGACAUUUGCUUAAAAGGUGCAAUUGCAUCACUACCAGAUGGACCUGCGUUGUAUUAGCUAGUUGGUGGGGUAACGGCUCACCAAGGCGACGAUACAUAGCCGACCUGAGAGGGUGAUCGGCCACCCUGGGACUGAGACACGGCCCAGACUCCUACGGGAGGCAGCAGUAGGGAAUCUUCGGCAAUGGACGGAAGUCUGACCGAGCAACGCCGCGGGAGUGAAGAAGGUUUUCGGAUCGUAAAGCUCUGUUGUAAGAGAAGAACGAGUGUGAGAGUGGAAAGUUCACACUGUGACGGUAUCUUACCAGAAAGGGACGGCUAACUACGUG
rnacentral:rRNA from 1 species